rnacentral:rRNA from 1 species
UACGGAGGGUGCAAGCGUUAUCCGGAUUCACUGGGUUUAAAGGGAGCGCAGGCGGACUGGUAAGUCAGUGGUGAAAGCCUUGAGCUUAACUCGAGAACUGCCAUUGAUACUAUCAGUCUUGAAUAUUGUUGAGGUUUGCGGAAUGGGUCAUGUAGCGGUGAAAUGCAUAGAUAUGACCCGGAACACCUAUUGCGAAGGCAGCAGGCUAAACAAAGAUUGACGCUGAGGCUCGAAAGCGUGGGGGGAUCAAACAGG